GUGGGAUCUUGUCCUUGUAUUGUUGCUGUUGAGCCCUACAAGGCUGCAUGUGGCGGUGGUUCUCGUUUUUUUUUUUUCUUCUUGUUAUCAGUAAAGAAUGUGAUUAACCUACCUCACGCUACAUCUUGGUCUAAUUCCACCAACGCCGAUCGUUACAAUGAUAGAACAAUAGACAAAUAUUGUACAAUCCAGGUGUGGAAAGGUCUCACUUACCCAGAAAGACUCACAGCCGCAAUUGCUGCCAGAGUGAACCAUGGGAAGUUUCCUAAGCAGGAGGACUCGUAUGUGUUCGAGGAGGACAGCAGCAGUGGCAGUCUGUCUCCAGAGCAACACCACAGUGAUGAGUCACAGGGGUCCGCAUGCCUAAGUGCAGCACCAGCCCUCAAUAGCCCUAAACCGGUUGCUCUGGAAUUCAUGAGACUGGUAUCUGUGGACCUCAAGAAGAUAUUCUUUCCAAGCUCCUUGAAUUCUACCGGGCCAAGAGCGAUGGAGGGAUGGAGCUAAAACAGCUUAUGGAAAGUCUUGACAAAGACAUAGGUUCCAUUCUAUUCACAUUAAAGUAUUUUGUACAUUUAUUA